CCUACGGGUGGCAGCAGUGGGGAAUAUUGCACAAUGGGGGAAACCCUGAUGCAGCGACGCCGCGUGAGUGAAGAAGGACCUCGUUGUGUAAAGCUCUGUCAGCAGGGAAGAAAAUGACGGUACCUGAGGAAGAAGCCCCGGCUAACUACGUGCCAGCAGCCGCGGUAAUACGUAGGGGGCAAGCGUUAUCCGGAUUUACUGGGUGUAAAGGGAGCGUAGACGGCAAUGCAAGUCAGGAGUGAAAGGCCGGGGCUCAACCCCGGGACUGCUCUGGAAACUGUACGGCUGGAGUGCAGGAGGGGUAAGUGGAAUUCCUGGUGUAGCGGUGAAAUGCGUAGAUAUUAGGAGGAACACCAGUGGCGAAGGCGGCUUGCUGGACUGCAACUGACGUUGAGGCUCGAAAGCGUGGGGAGCAAACAGGAUUAGAUACCCUGGUAGUC
rnacentral:rRNA from 1 species